GGCGGUGUAGCCAAAUGGUAAGGCAAAGGUUUGCAACACCUUCACUCUUGGUUCAAAUCCAAGCACCGUCU
rnacentral:tRNA from 2 species